rnacentral:rRNA from 1 species
CAAUAGCGUAUAUUUAAGUUGUUGCAGUUAAAAAGCUCGUAGUUGGAUUUCGGGUGGGACGCAGCGGUCUCGCAUUGCGUUUGUACUGCUGCAGCCCUCCUUCUUGCCGGGGGCGGCCUCUCGGACUUCACUGUCUGGGGGUCAGAAUCGGCGAUGUUACUUUGAGUAAAUUAGAGUGUUCAAAGCAAGCUUACGCUCUGAAUAUAAUAGCAUGGGAUAACACGACAGGACUCUGGCCUAUCGUGUUGGUCUAUAGGACCAGAGUAAUGGUUAAGAGGGACAGUCGGGGGCAUUCGUAUUCCGUUGUCAGAGGUGAAAUUCUUGGAUUUACGGAAGACGAACAUCUGCGAAAGCAUUUGCCAAGGAUGUUUNCAUUGA